GAGUUUGAUCGUGGCUCAGAGCGAACGCUGGCGGCAGGCCUAACACAUGCAAGUCGAGCGCCCCGCAAGGGGAGCGGCAGACGGGAGAGUAACACGUGGGAACGUACCCUUCAGUUCGGAACAACCCAGGGAAACUUGGGCUAAUACCGGAUACGUCCGUAAGGAGAAAGAUUUAUCGCUGAAGGAUCGGCCCGCGUCUGAUUAGCUAGUUGGUGGGGUAAUGGCCCACCAAGGCGACGAUCAGUAGCUGGUCUGAGAGGAUGAUCAGCCUCACUGGGACUGAGACACGGCCCAGACUCCUACGGGAGGCAGCAGUGGGGAAUAUUGGACAAUGGGCGCAAGCCUGAUCCAGCCAUGCCGCGUGGAUGAUGAAGGCCCUAGGGUUGUAAAGUCCUUUCGGCGGGGAAGAUAAUGACGGUACCCGCAGAAGAAGCCCCGGCUAACUUCGUGCCAGCAGCCGCAGUAAC
rnacentral:rRNA from 2 species